GUACGAGAGGACCGGGGUGAACGAUCCACUGGUGGACCUGUUGUUGCGCCAGCAGCAGUGCAGGGUAGCUAUGAUCGGACAGGAUAACCGCUGAAGGCAUCUAAGCGGGAAGCCCCCCUCAAAACAAGGUAUCCCUGAGGACCGUGGAAGACCACCACGUCGAUAGGCCGGAGAUGUAAGCACAGCAAUGUGUUCAGUUGACCGGUACUAAU
rnacentral:rRNA from 1 species